rnacentral:rRNA from 1 species
GAUGAACGCUGGCGGCGUGCCUAAUACAUGCAAGUCGAACGAAAAGACGAGGAGCUUGCUCCUCUGCCGUUAGCGGCUGACGGGCGGGUAACACAUGGAUCACCUACCUCUAAGACUGGGAUAACUUCGGAAAACAGGUGCUACUACCACCUAAUAUAUUCAACCGCAUGGUUCAAUAGUUCAACACGCCUUUGCUGUCACUUUUAGAUGGAUCCGUGCCGGAUUAGCUAGUUGGUAAGGUAACGGCCUACCAAGGCAACGAUGCGUAGCCGACCUGAGAGGGUGAUCGGCCACACUGGAACUGAGACACGGUCCAGACUCCUACGGGAGGCAGCAGUAGGGAAUCUUGCGCAAUGGGCGAAAGCCUGACGCAGCAACACCGCGUGAGUGAUGAAGGUCUUCGGGUUGUAAAGCCCUUUUAUUAGGGAAGAACAAAUGUGGAAGUAAACAUGGCCGUCUUGACGGUACCCAAUGAAAAAGCAACGGCUAACUACGUG